rnacentral:siRNA from 1 species
UGGAGUGCCUAUUGUUGUAGUC